rnacentral:lncRNA from 1 species
GUGCCAAAAUGGACGGCAUCACCGGAGAGAACAUUCACGAAGACAUAGUUACAGUUUGUGCGGAAAAUAUCAAAGAAAGCGGAAUACCAAAAACAAGUAUCUUUAUAAUAUCCAAUUAUGAUCCGUCAGUCGGCGACUUCUACAAACUAUUGAAUGCAAUAUUUAAGACGCUACCACAAAACAAAAGGGAGGCAUUACUUUAUUCUAUACCACCCUGAUCGCACCAGGUGAUUAAAGAAAAGAAGAAAGAGUUGAUCCGACGUGCGUACCGUGUUUCUCUCUUAUCGGCAGCAGGUGCUGCAAUACCUUUACC